CGCCAGCUAGCUCAGUUGGCAGAGCAUGGGACUCUUGAUCUCCGGAUUGUGGGUUUGAGCCCCACGCUGGGUG
rnacentral:tRNA from 1 species